rnacentral:rRNA from 1 species
UACGUAGGGCGCAAGCGUUGUCCGGAAUUAUUGGGCGUAAAGAGCUCGUAGGCGGCUUGUCACGUCGGGUGUGAAAGACCGGGGCUUAACCCCGGUUCUGCAUUCGAUACGGGCUGGCUAGAGUGUGGUAGGGGAGAUCGGAAUUCCUGGUGUAGCGGUGAAAUGCGCAGAUAUCAGGAGGAACACCGAUGGCGAGGGCAGGUCUCUGGGCAUUAACUGACGCUGAGGAGCGAAAGCAUGGGGAGCGAACAGG